GUGCUGGCUUUGGCAGCUCAUAUACUAAAAUCAGAGGGAUACAGAGAAGAUUAGCAUGGCCCCUGCACUAGAACCUUACACAAAUUCAUGAAGCAUUCCAUAUUUUU
rnacentral:snRNA from 1 species